AGGACGAACGCUGGCGGCGUGCCUAACACAUGCAAGUCGAGCGGGGACAUUGCGACGGACCUGAAGAUUUCGGUGGAUGGAAAGAUGUAGUGUUCUAGCGGCGGACGGGUGAGUAACGCGUGAGCAACCUGUCCCUUACAGGGGGAUAACACAGCGAAAGUUGUACUAAUACCGCAUGAGACCACAGAGUCACAUGGCUCAGGGGGUCAAAGGAGCAAUCCGGUAAGGGGUGGGCUCGCGUCCGAUUAGAUAGUUGGUGAGGUAACGGCCCACCAAGUCGACGAUCGGUAGCCGACCUGAGAGGGUGAUCGGCCACAUUGGGACUGAGACACGGCCCAAACUCCUACGGGAGGCAGCAGUGGGGAAUAUUGGGCAAUGGGGGAAACCCUGAACCCCAGCAACGCCGCGUGAGGGAAGAAGGUUUUCGGAUCGUAAACCUCUGUCCUAUGUGAAGAGGAAGAGACGGUAGCAUAGGAGGAAGCCCCGGCUAACUACGUGCCAGCAGCAGC
rnacentral:rRNA from 1 species